rnacentral:miRNA from 1 species
AUGAGAUUGAGAGAAAUGAUGAGAAGGGAGGAUGGGAGGGAGGAGUAACAAAUGUGAAAACAAAAACUUGAAAGUGAAAAGAAUUUCAAAUAUAUUUCAAUUUUUAAUUUUUGUUUUCACUUUUGUUACUCCUCCCCCCAUCUUCGGAUCUUCCCAUCUCAUCUUCCUU